rnacentral:rRNA from 1 species
GUUCGUCACGUCGGAUGUGAAAAUCUGGGGCUUAACCCCAGACCUGCAUUCGAUACGGGCGAGCUUGAGUAUGGUAGGGGAGUCUGGAAUUCCUGGUGUAGCGGUGGAAUGCGCAGAUAUCAGGAGGAACACCAAUGGCGAAGGCAGGACUCUGGGCCAUUACUGACACUGAGGAGCGAAAGCGUGGGGAGCGAACAGGAUUAGAUACCCUGGUAGUNCACGCCGUAAACGGUGGGCACUAGUUGUGGGGACCUUCCACGGUCUCUGCGACGCAGCUAACGCAUUAAGUACCCCGCCUGGGGAGUACGAUCGCAAGAUUAAAACUCAAAGGAAUUGACGGGGCCCCGCACAAGCAGCGGAGCAUGCGGCUUAAUUCGACGCAACGCGAAGAACCUUACCAAGGCUUGACAUAUACAGGAAUAUGGCAGAGAUGUCAUAGCCGCAAGGUCUGUAUACAGGUGGUGCAUGGUUGUCGUCAGCUCGUGUCGUGAGAUGUUGGGUUAAGUCCCGCAACGAGCGCAACCCCCGUUCUGUGUUGCCAGCAUUAAGUUGGGGACUCACAGGAGACUGCCGGGGUUAACUCGGAGGAAGGUGGGGAUGACGUCAAAUCAUCAUGCCCCUUAUGUCUUGGGCUGCACGCAUGCUACAAUGGCUGGUACAAACGGCUGCGAUACCGCAAGGUGGAGCGAAUCCGAUAAAGCCAGUCUCAGUUCGGAUUGGGGUCUGCAACUCGACCCCAUGAAGUCGGAGUUGCUAGUAAUCGUAGAUCAGCAACGCUACGGUGAAUACGUUCCCGGGGCUUGUACACACCGCCCGUCACGUCACGAAAGUCGGUAACACCCGAAGUCAGUGGCCCAACCGCAAGGAGGGAGCUGCCGAAGGUGG